UACUUAUUUAAUCCUUCCAGUAGUCAUAUGCUUAUCUCAAAGAUUAAGCCAUGCAUGUGUAAGUAUGAAUAAAUUCAGACUGUGAAACUGCGAAUGGCUAGUUGAAUCAGUAGUAGUUUGUUUGAUGGUAUUUAUUACUCGGAUAGCCAUAGUAAUUCAAGAGUUUAUACAUGCAACAAACCCCAACUUCUAGAAGGGAUGCACUUAUUAGAUAAAUGGUCAACGCGGGCUCUGCCCGUUGCUGUGAUAAUUCGUGAUAACUCGUCGGAUCACACAACCAUCAUACCAGCGAUGCAUCAUUCAAAAUUUUGUCCUAUCAACAUUCAAUGGUAGGGUAGUGGCCUACCAUGACAGUGAUGGGUGAUGGGGAAUUAGGGUUCAAUUUCAAAGAGGGAGCCUAAGAAAUGGUUACCACAUAUAAGAAAGGCAGCAGGUGCGCAAAUUACCCAAUCCUGACAUGAGAAGGUAGUGACAACAAAUAACAAUACCGGGCUCCAUAAGUUUGGUAAUUGGAAUGAGUACAAUCUAAAUCCCUUAACGAGGAUCCAUUGAAGGGAAAUUCUGGAGUCAUCAACCCCAGUAAUUCCAGCUCUAAUAGCAUAUAUUUAAGUUGUUGCAGUUAAAAAGAUCCUAGUUGGACUUUGGGAUGGGCUACCCGAUCUAUCAAUGGUGUGCACCAAUCGGCUCAUUCCUUCUUUCAGCGAUGUGCUCCUGCCCUUAACAGGCCAAUUUGUGCCUUCGGCGCUGUUACUUUGAAGAAAUUAGAGUGCUCAAAGCAAGCCUAUGCUCUGUAUACAUUAGAUAGAAUAACAUUAUAGGAUUUUGGUUCUAUUACGUUGUCCUUAAUAGGUCUGUGUUGCCCUUUGAUGUUUUGGGCCUCACGUACACUACACUAAUAUUUUUAAUGAUUUUCUAGCCUUUGCCAAUAGUCUCGGGUAAUCUUUGAAAUUUCAUAGUGAUGAGGAUAGAUCAUUGCAAUUGUUGGUCUUUAACGAGGAAUUCCUAGUAAUCGCAAGUCAUCAACUUUUGUUGACUAUGUCCCUGCCAUUUGUAUACACCAUUUGUCGCUCCUACCAAUUGAAUGAUCUGGUGAAAUAUUCGAAUCGCGGCGACGUAGGCGGUUCGCUUCCUGCGAUGCCGCAAGAAGUCCAUUGAACCUUAUCAUUUAGAGGAAGGAGAAGUCAUAACAAAGUUUUCGUAGGUUAACCUACGGAGGAUUAUUA
rfam:Capsicum annuum cultivar Zunla-1 chromosome 2, whole genome shotgun sequence